GCAUGUUCUAUAUCUUCCAAGAGGUGAUUUCCACCCCUUAUAUAGUCUUUACAAAAGCAAAAGCUUGUGAUUGGUUAGUUACAAGGAUAAGAAAGGAAAUUACAUCAAAAAAAUACAUAGGAAAAUAUCUAAAGUGGAGUCGGCAAAAACAGAGGAAAAUUCGCACCACGCAUGGGCUGUGCGAAUUUGGAAGGUGUUGUGCGAAAUUUUCGCACAAGCCUGGAGAAGUUGUCUUCCAAAGGCCAUAUCUUCC
rnacentral:lncRNA from 1 species